rnacentral:rRNA from 1 species
AUUGAACGCUGGCGGCAGGCCUAACACAUGCAAGUCGAGCGAGCGGCGGACGGGUGAGUAAGGUCUGGGAAACCGCCGGACGGAUGGGGAUAACUACUGGAAACGGUUGGUAAUACCGCAUACAAUCAGAUGUGCCGAGAUGGGGUUAGCUGGAGGGUGGGGUAACGGCUCACCUAGGCGAGGAUCCCUAGCUGGUCUGAGAGGAUGAUCAGCCACACUGGAACGGAGACACGGCCCAGACUCCUACGGGAGGCAGCAGUGGGGAAUCUUGCACAAUGGGCGCAAGCCUGAUGCAGCCAUGCCGCGUGAGUGAAGAAGGUCUUCGGGUUGUAAAGCUCUUUCGGCGGGGAGGCGUUACCCGCCGAAGAAGCACCGGCUAACUCCGUGCCAGCCGCCGCGGUAAUAC